rnacentral:lncRNA from 1 species
GUUCUCUGGGUUUGCAACAAUGACCUUCCAGAAACACCCUGAGCUCAGUCUGGCUCGAGCCUCAUAGUCUCUGCUUGGCCAUCUGGCAAAGAGGCCCUGCUGGUGCCAAAGUAACCGACCCCACCUGAGAUCUGAUCCAAGUCACCUGACAUGGAAUCCUGCCUCAUCCUGCAAUGGGACAGCCCAAGAGUUCCCAAGGAUUUGCUAUAAGAGUCCAGGCUAGUGCUGUGUUUCUGACAAACUUGACUGUGUAAAUUUCUUUCCAUGGACACUGAAAAAAUAUAUAGGCUUAAAUCUAUAUACAUGCAUAAAUACCUCAAUACAGACUACAUUGUUUCAAUUUAAAUCAUUUUUCAUUCAUUUCUUUUUAUCACUAAAGUUCUAAACAGUACAUCCAAUGUACCCACUGAGCUUUGUUUCUAAACAGAGAGGAUUAAUAUUAUUAAGACUUUUUAGAGUAAAUGCUUUGGAGACU